rnacentral:rRNA from 1 species
UACGUAGGGUCCGAGCGUUGUCCGGAAUUAUUGGGCGUAAAGGGCUCGUAGGCGGUUUGUUGCGUCGGGAGUGAAAACCUCGGGCUUAACUCGGGGCUUGCUUUCGAUACGGGCAGACUUGAGGCAUUCAGGGGAGAACGGAAUUUCUGGUGUAGCGGUGAAAUGCGCAGAUAUCAGGAGGAACACCGGUGGCGAAGGCGGGACUCUGGGCCAGUACUGACGCUGAUGCGCGAAAGCGUGGGGAGCAAACAGG